GCCUAUCGAAAGGGAAACAGGUUAACAUUCCUGUACCUGGGCGUGGAUGUUGGUGGCAACACAAGUGAACUUGUCGACGGCAGCGGGGAGUCCGGGAAGAGUUAUCUUUUCUUUUUAACAGCCUGUAGCCCUGGAAUCGGAUUACCCGGAGAUAGGGUGACGUGGCUGGUAAAGCACCUCACGUCUUGAGGUGUCCGGUGCCUCUCCGACGCCCCUUGAAAAGGCAAGGGAAGGAUUUUAUUUGCACCCCAGGUCGUACUCAUAACCGCAUCAGGUCUCCAAGGUGAGAAGCCUCUAGUCAAUAGGGUAAGGUAGGUAAGGGAAAUCGGCAAAUUAGAUCUGUAACCUCGGGAUAAGGAUUGGCUCCGAUGGUCGCCCCCAUGCACGCCGCUGCGGGUGUGCGCAGUUAAGUAUCAGGCAGCGGAGAUCCGGCGAGAUGACUAAAACGAGUCAGCGGAGCGUGGCGUCGUAGGAUGGUGUGAUUUUCCAAGGUACGAGCCGCUCAUGAGCAGACCUUCUUCUUCCCAUUCGGUGAAGUGGGAGGGUUCUUUUGCCUGGGAACGCUUCGCUCCGGGUGCCAAGCGGAUCAUCGAUAAGUGAAUCUGGUGCGCACGGGUGGUUGACCGAAUUGGAACUGGCGCAGACCAAGGGAAUCCGACUGUUUACUAAAAACACAGCAUUGUGAUGGUCCUUGCGGAUGUUGACACAAUGUGAAUCCUGCCCAGUGCUCAGGAUGUCAAUGCGAAGAGAUUCGAGUAAGCACGGGUAAACGGCGGGAGUAACUAUGACUCUCUUAAGGUAGCCAAAUGCCUCGUCAUCUAAUUAGUGACGUGCAUGAAUGGAGCAACGAGAUUCCUACUGUCCCUACCUACCGUCUAGCGAAACCACAGCCAAGGGAACGGGCUUGGGAAAAACAGCGGGGAAAGAAGACCCUGUUGAGCUUGACUCUACUCUGGAGUUGCCCAGCGACUUGGGAGGUAUAGCAUAGGUGGGAGCUCGCGCGACACUGAAAUACCACUACUCCCAAGAUUGUUUGGCUAAUCUCGCUGUCGUGAAGGAGCGCGACCGAGACCCCCCCGUGCUAGGGAAGCGCGGUAGCGGCACUCGGAUGCUAGAAUAAGAAGGGAUCACCCUAAUCACCAGGGUCCCCUCAGCACGCACGAGAGACCCCUCCAGACGGGGAGUUCGGCUGGGGCGGUACACCCGCUAAAGGUUAACGCGGGUGUCCUACGAUCAGCUCAACGAGGAAAGAAACCUCGCGUAGCGUACAAGGGUAGAAGCUGAUUUGAUUUCGAUCCUCUGUAGGGAUCUGAACUGCGAAAGCAUGGCCUAUCGAUCCUUUAGUCUUUCGGGGCGUGAAGCUAGAGGUGUCAGAAAAGUUACCACAGGGAUAACUGGCUUGUGGCAGCCAAGCGUUCAUAGCGACGUUGCUUUUUGAUUCUUCGAUGUCGGCUCUUCCUAUCAUUGGCCCGCAGCAGAGCCAAAGUGUAGGAUUGUUCAUCCACCAACAGGGAACGUGAGCUGGGUUUAGACCGUCGUGAGACAGGUUAGUUUUACCCUACUGAUGAAUGGUCGUGGCGACAGUAAUCCAAUUUAGUACGAGAGGAACCGUUGGUUCACGCAUUUGGCAAUGCGGUUGAUUGAAACGUCAAUGCCGCGAAGCUACCACGUGCAGGAUUAAGGCUGAACGCCUCUAAGCCCGAAUCCAGGCUGGACAGCCACGAUGUGCGCACUCCGAUAUAGAGACUAAGUAUAGCCUUUGGCCAGGAGUUACCAAGCCCACAAACGGGCGAGCGUCGAUCAUAAGUGUACUCAAAUAUCGGAAGUGACAAAUCCCUUGCAGACGACUUGACAUGAAAGAGGUAUUGUAAGCUGGAGAGUGCCACCUUGGCACGAUCCGCUGAGAUUAAGCCUUCGUUUCUUCGAUUU
rnacentral:rRNA from 14 species